GAAAAGAAGAAGACUGGUUGCAAUGACCAGGAGGUGCUACCGUGCUGGCUCAUGAGCUGGGUCACUGGAAACUGAGCCACAACCUCAAAAAUCUUGUCAUCAGUCAGGUGAACUUGUUCCUGUGCCUGUUUCUCUUCGGCCUCCUGAUCGAGAGAAAGGAACUGUUUGAGGCGUUUGGUUUCUAUGAUGUCCAACCCACUCUCAUAGGCCUCGUCAUCAUCUUUCAGUUAGUGUUCUCGCCCUACAACGAGGUGCAUCCAGAGUUUUUGAAAACAAAUCCUCCAUUAUUUUGUUCCCCUUUCCAACAUGAUUUAUGCCAUUUCCAGCCAAAAUAAUUUAUAAGGCUUGGCUUGUAAUUUCCGCUAAGAAUUCAAAGAAUUAUGACCUUUUUUUCCACAAGUACUUAAUUUCCUUCUGCAUGACGGUGCUGUGUCGUCGGUCAGAGUUCCAGGCCGACGCUUUCGCCAAGUCGCUGCGCCGCGCCACGGAGCUGCGGUCGGCGCUGAUCAAACUCCACAAGGACAAUCUCGGCUUCCCAUUGGCCGAUUGGCUGUACUCCACCUGGCACUACUCUCACCCUCCCCUCCUAGAGAGGCUCGCUGCCCUGGGAGAGAAAUUGGACUGAAAUCGAUGGUCUUCUUUUGGGUUGUGGACUGAGCACCUCUACGCACACCUGUAAGCACAGACGAUUUUCUGAGCUUGUGUUUUUUUAAAUGUGCCAUUCAAAACU